UUCUCGACUUCACUCUCGAACCGUGGAGGCAUUGAUGUGUUUACAAAAUUGGAUGAUUGAUGAUGUCAAAGGUGAAUUGGAUGACACAAGUGCUUGUUCCACAGUUAAUGAAGAUUAUGAUGAAGAUGGAGAAGAACAAAUUGAUAUUAUUGAUAUGGAUGUCGAUGAUGUUGAAAGUAGCUGUGCCAUGGAUGAUGACUUUUAUUCGUAGGAAAUGUAAUUUGGAUUGGGGAAGACUUGUUCUCGUAGACUCAUGCAUUGAGAUUUGUUUAUUU